UUUUGGGAGCUCACUGGAUUCGGAGUCAUGGGAACUCCGAAGUUAAGCGAAUUGGGGCUAGAGCAAUCCCAGGAUGGGGGACCUACUCGGAAGUUGCUCAUGAGCUCCCAUAAA
rnacentral:rRNA from 1 species